rnacentral:rRNA from 1 species
AUUGAACGCUGCGGCAGGCCUAACACAUGCAAGUCGAACGGUAGCACAGAGGAGCUUGCUCCUUGGGUGACGAGUGGCGGACGGGUGAGUAAUGUCUGGGAAACUGCCUGAUGGAGGGGGAUAACUACUGGAAACGGUAGCUAAUACCGCAUAACGUCGCAAGACCAAAGAGGGGGACCUUCGGGCCUCUUGCCAUCAGAUGUGCCCAGAUGGGAUUAGCUAGUAGGUGGGGUAAUGGCUCACCUAGGCGACGAUCCCUAGCUGGUCUGAGAGGAUGACCAGCCACACUGGAACUGAGACGCGGUCCAGACUCCUACGGGAGGCAGCAGUGGGGAAUAUUGCACAAUGGGCGCAAGCCUGAUGCAGCCAUGCCGCGUGUAUGAAGAAGGCCUUCGGGUUGUAAAGUACUUUCAGCGGGGAGGAAGGCGAUACGGUUAAUAACCGUGUCGAUUGACGUUACCCGCAGAAGAAGCACCGGCUAACUCCGUG